GCAUGGAGUAAAAGUAAAAACAAAUAAUUCAUAAGAAAUCUUAAGAUGACUUGUGCUAGGUUCUGGUUGUGGUGGAAUUGGAGUGCAAUGCAUCAUUUAAAUUGUAUUAAAAAUCAAUGCAUGCAUCAUAUUUUCUACAACAAAGUAGCCUACAUCCUAGAUGUGCUGUUGGAGGCUUGUUUUUUACAGAUACAACUAAACAGACAAAUUGAAAAGUUACGUGAUUUUUCCUUUCAUACUCUUGGGGCACUGGGAUUAGAUUUACCUUCAGCAUAAAAAACAAUCAAGUACAAAGGCUGUUCGUCAUUUUCAUCUCUUCCAUCAAAAUUGGCCACACAAAUGUUUUAACCGUAUGGAUGUGACGUAUCGCAUGACAGUUCAACCACAAUCUAACCCGAGGGUAAGUCACCUUAAGAGCUCAAAGCUAAAGGGCAUACAAGCAACAACAGAGGACUUUCUUGGAGACAUACUAAUACCCAACUAAUUUAGAGAUACAAAUCUAUGUUCCACUUCCACAAGUAAAAAGAACUAGUGCAUAUAGAGAGCUUAGAAGUUGUGAUGAUUAUUAAAUCCUCUCUGGGCGACCUGCGUCAGAAUUCGAACUAUUUCCCAGAGAGAAAGUGAUUCAUAAGCUAUGAUCAUCUUGAACAGGGCCCUUCAAGUUCAGUUCCUUCUUAUUAAAUGUGAAAUGGUUCACCGAUAAAAGUUGAAAAAAGACCACGAAGCCAAACUAUCAGCGAAAGUCUUGUCAGGAAUUUGUGAAAGUGUAUUUUGAACUGUUUGAGGGGCUGACAAAGUAAGAUCCAUGCAGGAAUGGGUACUUAGAUGCUAUGGUAUGAUUACCUAUUCGGUGUCAACACUUGAAAAUGUUACUUUCCAUCGCGUAAUGAGAAUAUUGACAUGACACACACUAAUUAAACACUUUUUACUUAUAUUUAAUUUUAUCACUGAUUCACUUUCAAGAAUAGGCUUGUCUCGCCUUAUAAAACAUAAACAAAAGUGGACCGGGGGUGGUGGGGAUUGCGGUGUUGUGACUUCUUCGUUUUUACAGAUUUUGCUUGUUACCAUCAGAAAUAUCAGCGCUCUCUGCAUGAGAGUGUGCUAACUCACAUUCGGCGUUGCGCGGAGCGUGCCAUACGGGCGCUAUCAGAACUAAUGGAGGGUGUUCAGGAAUGAGCUUUUCAAUCCCCCCCCCCCCCCCCCCCCCCGGGUCAUCCUCAACUGUUGGAUGGUUAAGAAACUUGCAACUUUGAAAAAUUUUCCUAUUUUAAGAUCUUUCAUGCGGAUGAAAAUUUCAGGCGUUCCUUAGGGGCUGAAAGAUAAAAUUUAAUUGGGGUAGCCAUCGUUGGAAAGAGGGGACGAUUACGCGGUUUUGUAUAAUCCCCCGUCCCCCGUCCCACGCCCCUGAGUGAAGUAUAAAUCAUUAUCGACAAGUCCAUAGAAGAGAAGAAAAAAAUCAACUUUUCACACCAGAGGUCUCUGUCCGUCAUCAAUGCAUAUUUAUGGGCGCCAUGACGAAGUUGGGAUUCCCAAAACUUUGACCGGUCGUCAUUUUGUGAUGGCGGUAACUAGGGACUUAAAACUUUCUGUUAAAAAUGUUUGUUUUUACUAUCUCUCGCGACUAAGCCAAAAAUUGGGGUUGACUUCGCGAAAAUGAAAAUUCGGAGGCCUAAAAUUUUUUACUCCCCGAAAAAUAGUUUUGUCCUGUGAAACGUCCUGUGAAAGGUUGGCGACAAGGGGUGGAGGAGGAGACCAGAAGGUGUCAAUUGCCUGAUGAUCUCUAGGAGGAUAGGGGGCAAUGGCGUUUGGGCGUCGCAGAGCGCGGCGAAGCUGCGCUAUAGAAGCGGCUCUUUGUAUGUGUGUAAAAUAAUUUUGUACUAGACAGGAUGCCAGAAUUUCAUCUCUGUGUCAUGACCCGUUCAAAAUAUAAGGGCGAUGGGCAGAGUUUUGGCAGACCCUGUGAAUGCUUCUCUGAGUUCAUUUUGAAAAAGUAUACCACUAAAAAUAAUGCCGUCCCGAAAGUAGAGCGAUAGGAACGACGGAACUAGGCGCCGUACUGUCGAAGGAGCCAAAAUGACAAAGAAAUAGGAAUGAAAAGGAAAAGGAAGAAUAGAAAAAGGAGGAAAGAAAAAAGAGGGAGGUGGGAAAAGAGAGAGGAUAUGGAGGCCAAAUAAUUGCAUAAUUUUAAAGCCCAAUCAACAAUGUAGCAGCGUACCACUUUAGCGAGUAGUGCGGACGCAGACCUAAUUCCUUGAUGAGGAGUCACGACUAAUAAGAAACCCCUUCAUUUUGAAAAGAUACUUCCUAGCGUAUCCGCGGAGGCCGAAUAGUUGUAUCCUUUAAAUACCCAAGCUCCGCUGGAGGCAGCAAAAAUUAGUGAGUAUUCCGUUUGCUUGACAGAGAUAAUUUUUUGAUGAAGCGUGUUGACGCCUAAAAAACGCCUUCAUUGAGAAAAGAUACUUCCUAGCGUGGCCUCGGAGGUCGAAUGGUUGCAUCAUUAAAAAACCCAAUCAAUAGUGAAGCAGCUAGAAUGUUCAUACUUUUACACAGGAGCCCCCUAUUCCAAUUUUCAUCUUUUUCU
rnacentral:lncRNA from 1 species